UCCAGACUGUGCACCCUCACACACCUGAAAUUGGCGCAGCGUAAAUGAUAGAUCUGUUUCACCUUGGAUCUCCCCGUGUCUUGUCUCCUACAGGAACACACCCUCUGUCGUUGUUGCCCAAGGUGAUGUCAUGUUCAUUCUAAAGGCCGCGGUUCCAAGGGGACUACACCACAAGAAGAUGCCUUCAGAAAGACCCAGAUUUCCUGCGGUCUCAGGUAGGCGGCAGGGAGCAAGAGAACAAGGAAAGGACCCGCCACCACUCUCCCCAAGAUGGAUGCUGCAUGAUAUCAACGAGGCAGGCAAAGGAAGCAGUGUAACUUUUUCCCAUUUUACGGAUGAAGAAACCGAAAUUCAAGAGAUUUGCUCAAGUUCACACAGCUGUUUAGGGUCAGCCAAGUCCAAGUUAAACAACAUAAUGUAAAUAUGUACCCAAAUGCUAAGCGCCCUCCCUUCCUCCCUCUCUCCUGAGUUUCGGGUUGAACUACUCAGCUCACGCAAGCCAAAAUAUUUGAAGAUCCUGGCCCAUCCAUCCCAACCAGGCACAGCAGUGACAGCUGCCCCAUGUACCAGACCUGACCGAGGGAUGGCGAGGCUGCAGGGAGGGGCUUCCCGCUCUGAGGCCCCGCCUUCUGGUGGCCCCAGCAGGAAAGCGCCGGCGGCAACCGGUCGCCGUAGCCGGACUGUGGAAAUCCCCAGCCCCUUUGCUCGUCUCUACAGGCCCAGGGCUCAAACUGCGCCUCUGGGGUUCCUGGCGCGCGGCGAUCAGGGGCCAUCGAAAGGCCAGAGGAGGGCCCAACGCAGACGUUUGUUUUCAUCUUCUCCAAGGCGGAUCUCGCAGGCCAGAGAAGUGGGUCCCGCUUACCGCGGGGCUGUUACCAAAAAAGGCCUUUCUCUCGCUGGAGCGCUUGGCGGCGCGCGUUGCAGCAGGGUGACGCGAGGUUCAGCCCGGGCCUCCUUGAAGGUUGAGCCAGCUGACUGCAGGGCUGCCAGGCCAAGAGCCACCCCCCCCCCCCCCCCCCGCAACACACACACACACCCGCGCCCCGUCUCUGCCACAAAACGGCGGGGGCAGGAGAGAGAGUGCAGGGAGCUUCGAAGUGCGCGCCUGGCGACCUUCUCACCACUAGCAACCUUGGGCUAUGGUGCUCCGGCAAGGCCAGGUGGAAAGCUGACCUUUUGCUCCAGUUUAGAGCAGGGUUCUCUGAGGAUGCCAGCCCAGAUGGCAAGCUGGGUGGGGAAAGCGACAGUAGGAAGGAACUUUGGGAAGAUGAUGCCGCCGUUUGGCGCCCGGCUCUGCUAGUCUCUGCUUGUCUCCCAGACCCCAUGGACAGAGUUCUUUGAGUCUCUACACCUGGCAGUUUACGUUGAGGCUCCUCCACCUCCACCACCCCCCUCCCAAAUCCUUUCCAGUUCCUUUCCACCGUUGUCAUAGUUUUGUUGCACGGGACUCUUCUUCAGGGAGAAAACCCACCUCCAGAACACUGGAGUUCUAGCCUCUCACCGUCUCUCACACAUCCCCAAACGGCCAUCUCAGGCAACAAGAGAUACCACAAAUGAUGUUGAUUCUUUUUUUUGGUGGGGGGUGGGGGGGCGGUUUGGAGAGAGCUGUGUUUUAUAAAUGAAAGGAUUAUGAGUCUGUAAUGGAAGUCUGUUUAAAUACACGUUGAUUUCUAACUCAGUGUGUCUGAAGGCACCCCAGCAUGUAUGUGUGUAUAUAUAUCUCCUUUAGUAACAGUGAAGACAGAGACAGACAGGGAGAUGGAGACAUAUGUGUGUGCAUACCAAACAUAACACCAUGUCAUAGAAUCCAACUUGCUUUCUCUAGCAGCCUGGCUGGAGGGUUGCGGCUAAGUUGCUAUUUCCCUAAUAUUUUUGGUUUAAUAAAGGGAAGGGCUGAAUAAAUAUUAAUGUAAAGAAAUGGGUCACCCAACCGAGCCAAAGCUAAGGAGCCCCAGGCUGGCGGGGAUGUCAAACCAUUUCCCACCCCUAUGUUUUGACUCACUCCAGGGUAGCGGUAGUGUGGGGAGGGCUGAAGUCUGGGAGAGUGAGGCAAUGCUCCCCAAGCAACUCUUUGCAGAGGAAUCACUGCAAAGUGCCAGCAGGCCAGAGAAAGUUUAUUAUUGCUCUAGAGUGCACAGUGAGCUCACUGUUUUGCAAAAACAGAAAUCUGGCUGCUUUGAGAUGAAAGAGGGGCUCCCUAGGGCUCCUCCUCCUCUUCUGUCCUUAAAAACUCGCCUUUCCUUUGCACUCAGGGGCCCCAGAAUGAGUGGGAGAUUGGGGCUCUGGGGAGUGUUGGAUAGGGGAACAGGCUCUGGAAGUCAAGUGUCAAAAUAAAAGUAAGUAUCUCUUGUUGCUUCCACUGAACUUUAUUGCAAUUACUAGUAAUAAGAGUGAUAAUAGUGAUCCUCACAAUUUAUGCAGUUUACUAAGUACUGUCACAUGUCAACCAGCAAUAGUACCAACACUAGUAUCAAUACUAAUAAUAACUAACACUAACUGUGAGUCCAACACUGCUCUCCAUUCUGUAUGGUGUAUUUAAGUUACAGUCUGGUAGUGACAGAUCUACAACUUCUGUAUAUAGAACUCAGUGGUACAAAUGCGCUUGGAAGGGGAGGCUGGGGGUUGGUUAUGAAGGUGUAUUGGCGUAGUACUUACGUAAGAUUGUAUGUAACACCAAAUCAACUGGGGCUGAUGGGAAUUUUGAGCACCCCAAACCACCUCUGCAAGCCUGAGCUUGUCAAAGACACCUCAAAUCAGAUUUACUGGAUUCAAAUCCCAGCCCCAUCACUAAUGGCUGUAGGCAAGUUAUAUAGCCUCUUUACUUUCCUGGUUUGUAAAAUGGAGGUAAAAGAAUCUACCCUGUAGAUAAUAUUAAGGGUUUAAUACUGUAAUAGGCCGGGCACGGUGGGUCAUGCCUGUAAUCCCAGCACUUUGGGAGGCUGAGGCGGGAGGAUCACCUGAGGUCAGCAGUUCGAGACCAGCCUGGCCAACAUGGGGAAAGUCCGUCUCUACUAAAAAUACAAAAAUGAGCUGGGUGUGGUGGCGGGCGCCUGUAUCCCCAGGUACUUGGGAGACUGAGGCAGGAGAAUUGCUUGAACCUGGGAGGUGGAGGUUGCAGUGAGCUGAGAUUGCGUCACUGUACUCCAGCCUGGGUGACAGAGUGGACUCUGUCUCAAAACAACAACAAAAUACUAUAGAUAAUAUCCCCUUAAUAAUGUAGAUAAUAUUAAGGGUGAUGCAAGUAAGCCACCUAGUUUACUAAGGUCCCACGGCAAGUCUAAGUAAGCGUUAUCUCUUAUUAUGACAAGAAACAAAUUGAGGCCGGGUGAGGUGGCUCAUGCCUGUAAUCCCAACACUUUGGGAGGCCAAGGUGGGUGCAUCACUUGGGCCCAGGAGUUUGAGACCAGCCUGGGCAACACGGCAAAACCCCAUCCCUUUCCAAAAAUACAAAAAAAUUGGCCAGGUGUAAUGGCACAUGCCUGUAGUCCCAGCUACUAGGGAGGCUGAGGUGGGAGGAUUACUUGAGCCUGGGAGGUCAGGCUGCUGCCAGCCGCGAGUGUGCCACUGUACUCCAGCCUGGGCAACAGAACAAGAUCCUAUCUCAAAAAAACAAAAAACCGAAGUUGAAAUCUCAAACAACCCUAAUAACCUGGGAGCUAUCAUUCCAUUCUCUUUUCCAUGGAAAAGAGAGAUUUUGUGGGUAACUAGCUUAAGGGUGGAGAGCCAGUUAGUGAUGGAGAGGAAAUUUCAAUCUGGUGGGCCAGACUUCAGAAUCCGAAAUCCCAUUAUAUUGCUUUCCCUUCUCCAGCCUUCCCUGGGAUUAUCUCAGUUUUCAUGAAAUUAAAAAAAAAAAAAGCAAACCCAAUAAUUAGAAUAAUCAAUAGAAAUGCCCCAACUAGAGCUAUGACCAACAUAUCCAUCGUGCCAUAAGCAAUACUGAUGAGCAGUGAUCUUGUAAGGCAGAAGAAAUCACGGCCUUGGCCGGGCGUGGUGGUUCAUGCUUGUAAUCCCAGCACUUUGGAAGGCCGAGGCGGGAGGAUCACCUGA